rnacentral:rRNA from 1 species
GACGAACGCUGGCGGCGUGCUUAACACAUGCAAGUCGAACGGAAAGGCCCUGCUUUUGUGGGGUGCUCGAGUGGCGAACGGGUGAGUAACACGUGAGUAACCUGCCCUUGACUUUGGGAUAACUUCAGGAAACUGGAGCUAAUACCGGAUAGGAGCUCCUGCUGCAUGGUGGGGGUUGGAAAGUUUCGGCGGUUGGGGAUGGACUCGCGGCUUAUCAGCUUGUUGGUGGGGUAGUGGCUUACCAAGGCUUUGACGGGUAGCCGGCCUGAGAGGGUGACCGGCCACAUUGGGACUGAGAUAGGGCCCAGACUCCUACGGGAGGCAGCAGUGGGGAAUAUUGCACAAUGGGCGGAAGCCUGAUGCAGCAACGCCGCGUGCGGGAUGACGGCCUUCGGGUUGUAAACCGCUUUCGCCUGUGACGAAGCGUGAGUGACGGUAAUGGGUAAAGAAGCACCGGCUAACUACGUG